rnacentral:rRNA from 1 species
GUGCAGCAGGCGCGAAUUUUUCUCAAUGGGCGAAAGCCUGAAGGAGCGACGCCGCGUGGGGGAUGAAUGGCUUCGGCCCGUAAACCCCUGUCAUUUGUGAACAAAUUGUUUCACCUAACACAUGAAGCAUUGAUAGUAACGGAAGAGGAAGGGACGGCUAACUCUGUGCCAGCAGCCGCGGUAAUACAGAGGUCCCAAGCGUUGUUCGGAUUCACUGGGCGUAAAGGGCGCGUAGGCGGUUGGGUAAGUCUGACGUGAAAUCUCCGGGCCUAACCGAAAACUGCGUUGGAUACUAUCCGGCUAGAGGAAUGGAGGGGAGACUGGAAUACUUGGUGUAGCAGUGAAAUGCGUAGAUAUCAAGUGGAACACCAGUGGCGAAGGCGAGUCUCUGGACAUUUCCUGACGCUGAGGCACGAAAGCCAGGGGAGCAAACGGGAUUAGAUACCCCUGUAGU